rnacentral:tRNA from 1 species
GAGUAAAUAGCUAAUCAAGUAUAUUAUUUACGCUAAUAUGAUACCGAAAGGUUUUACUUU